AGCUCUGAAUGCUGUUUCUCCUGGAGUACCAGGAGAAAAAAUCCCUUUCAGUGAGGUGAAGCUCUCUCCAAUCUUCUCGAAGUCAGGCAGAAGUUUGGCAAGGUCAUCGGCAUCAGGAAGGGCUUUGAUAAGUUUUUCUAAGUCAAUAUGCUCAUCAAGCUCCCAGAUGAAGUCAGGAAUAAUCCACUUAUAUUCAUCGAGAUCAGGCAUCAUGUCCUUCCACUGAUCAUAUGUCUUCUUAGCUGUGUAACCACCACCUACAGCAGAC
rnacentral:lncRNA from 1 species